rnacentral:rRNA from 1 species
CCCUUAGAUGCCCUGGGCCGCACGCGCGCUACACUGACAUGUUCAACAAGCCUCCUAGUUCGACAGGAUUUGGGAAAUCUUUGAACGCAUGUCGUGAUAGGGAUAGAUCAUUGCAAUUAUUGAUCUUGAACGAGGAAUUCCUAGUAAACGCGAGUCAUCAGCUCGCAUUGAUUACGUCCCUGCCCUUUGUACACACCGCCCGUCGCACCUACCGAUUGAGCAAUCCGGUGAAUACUUCGGACCGGUUACUUGGUUGGUUCGCUAACCUUGUGACUGGAAAGUCGAGUGAACCUUAUUGCUUAGAGGAAGGAGAAGUCGUAACA